rnacentral:rRNA from 1 species
UACGAAGGGGGCUAGCGUUGCUCGGAUUUACUGGGCGUAAAGGGCGCGUAGGCGGUCAGCACAAGUCAGUUGUGAAAUCUCCGAGCUUAACUCGGAAAGGUCAACUGAUACUGUGCGACUAGAGUGCGGAAGGGGCAACUGGAAUUCUUGGUGUAGCGGUGAAAUGCGUAGAUAUCAAGAGGAACACCUGCGGCGAAGGCGGGUUGCUGGGCCGACACUGACGCUGAAGCGCGAAAGCCAGGGGAGCGAACGGG